rnacentral:rRNA from 1 species
UUGUGCCUACGGGACGCAGCAGUGGGGAAUUUUGCGCAAUGGGGGGAACCCUGACGCAGCAACGCCGCGUGCGGGACGAAGGCCUUCGGGUUGUAAACCGCUUUCAGCAGGGAAGAUCCAAGACGGUACCUGCAGAAGAAGCUCCGGCUAACUACGUGCCAGCAGCCGCGGUAAUACGUAGGGGGCGAGCGUUAUCCGGAUUCAUUGGGCGUAAAGCGCGCGUAGGCGGCCGCCUAAGCGGAACCUCUAAUCCCGGGGCUCAACCUCGGGCCGGGUUCCGGACUGGGCGGCUCGAGUGCGGUAGG